rnacentral:rRNA from 1 species
CCCUUAGAUGUUCUGGGCCGCACGCGCGCUACACUGACAGAGCCAGCGAGUCUACCACCUUUGCCGGAAGGCAUGGGUAAUCUUGUGAAACUCUGUCGUGAUGGGGAUAGAACAUUGCAAUUAUUGUUCUUCAACGAGGAAUACCUAGUAAGCGUGAUUCAUCAGAUCGCGUUGAUUACGUCCCUGCCCUUUGUACACACCGCCCGUCGCUACUACCGAUUGAAUGGCUUAGUGAGGCCUCCGGAUUGGCUAUUGGGAGCUCGCGAGAGCACCCGACUGCCGAGAAGUCGUACGAACUUGGUCAUUUAGAGGAAGUAAAAGUCGUAACA